UCCCGGUUAACCCGGGCAGUCUCAUUAAAGAGCCCACCAUUACGUGAUGGCAACUAAUGAUAAGGGUUGCGCUCGUUGCGGGACUUAACCCAACACCUCACGGCACGAGCUGACGACAGCCAUGCAGCACCUGUUCAGCGGUCCCGAAGGAAGAUGUUAUUUCUAACACUGUCCACUGUAUGUCAAAUCUGGGUAAGGUUCUUCGCGUUGCAUCGAAUUAAACCACAUACUCCACUGCUUGUGCGGGUCCCCGUCAAUUCUUUUGAGUUUCGGCCUUGCGGCUGUACUCCCCAGGCGGUAUACUUAUCGCGUUAGCUACGACACAUCUAGGGUUGAAUCCAGAUACAUCAAGUAUACAUCGUUUACAGCUAGGACUAC
rnacentral:misc_RNA from 1 species